rnacentral:misc_RNA from 1 species
GAACGCACAUUGCGCCCCCUGGUAUUCCGGGGGGCAUGCCUGUCCGAGCGUCAUUACAACCCUCAAGCACGGCUUGUGUUAUGGGCCGUCGUCCCCUACUCGCUAGGUGGACGCGUCCGAAAUGCAGUGACGGUAGCCGCGACUCCGGUGCCCGAGUGAAUGGAGGAUAAUACCACCGCUCGUUUGGCCCGGCCGGCUCCGGUCGAAAUCAUUUAUUUCUUAGGUUGACCUCGGAUCAGGUAGGGAUACCCGCUGAACUUAAG